rnacentral:rRNA from 1 species
UACAGAGGGUGCGAGCGUAAUCGGAAUUACUGGGCGUAAAGCGUGCGCAGACGGUCAUGUAAGUCGGGUGUGAAAGCCCCGGGCUCAACCUGGGAAUUGCAUUCGAGACUGCAUGGCUAGGGUGCGGAAGAGGCGAGUGGAAUUCCUGGUGUAGCGGUGAAAUGCGCAGAUAUCAGGAGGAACACCAAUUGCGAAGGCAGCUCGCUGGGACGUUACUGACGCUGAGACGCGAAAGCGUGGGGGAGCAAACAGG